GACGAACGCUGGCGGCGUGCUUAACACAUGCAAGUCGAACGGAAAGGCCCUGCUCUUGUGGGGUGCUCGAGUGGCGAACGGGUGAGUAACACGUGAGUAACCUGUCCUUGACUUUGGGAUAACUUCAGGAAACUGGGGCUAAUACCGGAUAGGAGCUCUUGCUGCAUGGUGGGGGUUGGAAAGUUUCGGCGGUUGGGGAUGGUCUCGCGGCUUAUCAGCUUGUUGGUGGGGUAGUGGCUUACCAAGGCUUUGACGGGUAGCCGACCUGAGAGGGUGACCGGCGACAAUGGGCCUGAGGUAGGGCGCAGUCUCGUACGGGAGGCAGCGGUCGGGAGUCUGACACAAUGAGCGGAAGCCUGAUGCGACAGCGCCGCGUGCGGAAUGACGGCCUUCGGGUUGUAAACCGCUUUCGCCUGUGACGAAGCGUGAGUGACGGUAAUGAGUAAAAAAGCACCGGCUAACUACGUG
rnacentral:rRNA from 1 species